CACGAGGUCAAGAGAUCGAGAUCAUCCUGGCUAACAGAAAAACCAAACCAUAGCUGGCUGUUUGCAUUUGCUGAGAAUAUAUUUUAGAGUGCCCACACAGCAAGAGAGUCUAUGAUUAUUGCCCUAAACCACACCAAGCAUCGUGAGGAAAUGAGGAUGAGGAUAUGCUCUUGCUCUUGAGUGGCUUGCGCCCUCAAGGGAGUGCUAAGUGUUCCUUGCACAUAAGCUGCUUGUGUUAUUCCAAAAGGACCUGGGAAACAGUGUGAAAAAACUUCAGGGGAAAACAAACGCCAUAGGCUGAAGGCAAGGAGGACAAGUGCAGUGAAAAUCAAAGGAAGAGGCAAUAUGGGGACGUGGUAUGCACCCUGCAGAGAAAAGCAGAGGAUCAUCCUAGCCCAGCCUUGCCACCAACUUGCCAAGGGGACCUGGGCCAGCACUGGCCCACCCUGGACUCACUUUAUCCUUUGGUAAUAGAAGGGGCUGG